GAUGAACGCUGGCGGCGUGCCUAAUACAUGCAAGUCGAGCGAACAGACGAGGAGCUUGCUCCUCUGACGUUAGCGGCGGACGGGUGAGUAACACGUGGAUAACCUACCUAUAAGACUGGGAUAACUUCGGGAAACCGGAGCUAAUACCGGAUAAUAUAUUGAACCGCAUGGUUCAAUAGUGAAAGACGGUUUUGCUGUCACUUAUAGAUGGAUCCGCGCCGCAUUAGCUAGUUGGUAAGGUAACGGCUUACCAAGGCAACGAUGCGUAGCCGACCUGAGAGGGUGAUCGGCCACACUGGAACUGAGACACGGUCCAGACUCCUAAGGGAGGCAGCAGUAGGGAAUCUUUCGCAAUGGGCGAAAGGCUGACGGAGCAACGCCGCGUGAGGGAUGAAGGUCUUCGGAUCGUAAAACUCUGUUAUUAGGGAAGAACAAAUGUGUAAGUAACUAUGCACGUCUUGACGGUACCUAAUCAGAAAGCCACGGCUAACUACGUG
rnacentral:rRNA from 1 species